rnacentral:rRNA from 1 species
AUGCCUCCAAGGAAAAGAAUGACAACCAUAAAUGCCAUCAUCACCGACACGGCGGAAGCCGUGCAAGAUUUUCAUCCACGCAUAGCCCUACUCCACACCUCCAUGAAAUUGGAGGCACUGUCCAAGAAGCCUCACACCGCUGCCACCGCAACACUUGCCGACGUAGCUGCAAAAUCGAGGACCGACGACCAACCACCCGGCAGGGUAACCAUGGCCACACCACCAACUCCCAACCUGCACGAGGACCCGCAGUCAACCAGCACCUCCGGCCAGAUCCAGGAAUGCCCGCGACGGCUGUCACCCACCAAGGGACAACCUUGCGUCACCCAAAUUGCCUCUCCACAGAAGAACCAUGCCGACGCUAGUAGAAGGCCAACACCGCUCGCCAAGACGCACAAGGAUGACCAGCCGCCCGCUGCUCUCCAAGACUCCAUCUUGGCCGAGCCAUCGAAGCGCCACCACCAACCUGCUAGUGGGACUCGCUGCCGCCUCCAGCUAGUGUUGCCGCCACCGGACACGGGCCACCUCACCAUUGCCAAGCCCCGCCAGGCCCGCCGCGCCACCAGACCACCGCCGAGCGUCGUCCAUCUGUCCUCACAUUCGGUCGGCGCGGAUCUUGCCAGGCACGAACUCCUCACGACGAGGAGCACCAAGCCGCCACCGGCUUGCAUACUCCGCCGCGACGCACCUCCACCAGACCGCCGCGCCGCGCCGCCCCGCUCCACCUCCCGCCGGCGCACAGCCGUCCGCCACGCCGGCUACAGAGAUCCGCCGUCAGGCCGAAGAGGCGGCCCCUCGCGACCACUGCUCCAAGUGAGGCGAGAGGGAUCCCGCCGCCGCCGGCACCACACAGGCUUUACCCGGCGGCUAGGUUUGGGCACCCGGGUCGCCCGCGGGGGGCGACGCGGGGCAGUAUUUUUUUCGCCUCGUCAAAGUUGA